rnacentral:sRNA from 1 species
GCUGGGCACAGUGGCAUGCACCUGUAGUCCUAGCUUCUCAGGAGGCUGAGGUGGGAGAAUGGCUUGAGCCCUCAGGUUGAGACCAGCCUGGGCAACAGAGCAAGAGGUAGAUCCCAUCUCAU